rnacentral:rRNA from 1 species
GGGGUUUGGGCCGUGUCUCAGUCCCAAUGUGGCCGAUCACCCUCUCAGGUCGGCUACCGAUCGUCGACUUGGUGGGCCGUUACCUCACCAACUAUCUAAUCGGACGCGAGCCCACCCUUCACCGGAUUGCUCCUUUGACCCCAAAGCCAUGCAGCUCCGUGGUCUUAUGCGGUAUUAGUACAACUUUCGCUGUGUUAUCCCCCUGUGAAGGACAGGUUGCUCACGCGUUACUCACCCGUCCGCCGCUAGAACAUACCGUUCCAAUUCCAUCCGAAAACUUCCUCUUCACUGUAUGUCCCCGCUCGACUUGCAUGUGUUAGGCACGCCGCCAGCGUUCGUCCUAGCACUGGAUCAAACUACU